rnacentral:rRNA from 1 species
AUUGAACGCUGGCGGCAGGCCUAACACAUGCAAGUCGAACGAGUGGCGGACGGGUGAGUAAUGUCUGGGAAACUGCCUGAUGGAGGGGGAUAACUACUGGAAACGGUAGCUAAUACCGCAUACCAUCAGAUUUGCCCAGAUGGGCUUCGCUAGUUGGUGGGGUAACGGCUCACCAGGGCGACGAUCCCUAGCUGGUCUGAGAGGAGGACCAGCCACACUGUAACUGAGACACGGUCCAGACUCCGACGGGAGGCAGCAGUGGGGAAGAUUGCACAAUGGGCGCAAGCAUGAUGAAGCCAUGCCGAGUGUAUGAAGAAGGCCUUCGGGUUGUAAAGUACUUUCAGCGGGGAGGCGUUACCCGCAGAAGAAGCACCGGCUAACUCCGUGCCAGCAGCCGCGGUAAUAC